AUCUAUGGCCAUACCGUCCUGAAUGUGCCCGAACUCAUGUAAUCUCAGAAACUAAGCAGCACUGGGCCUAAUUAGUAGUUGAAUGGGAGACAAGUGGUAGGAUAUUUUUUGGAAGGCUGAAUA
rnacentral:rRNA from 1 species